rnacentral:rRNA from 1 species
UACGUAGGGGGCGAGCGUUAUCCGGAAUUACUGGGCGUAAAGCGCACGCAGGCGGUUCGCCAAGUUUGGAGUGACAGUUGUCGGCUCAACCGACAAAGGACUUCAAAAACUGGUGAACUUGAGGACGAGAGAGGAACAUGGAACUCCAGGUGUAGUAGUGAAAUGCGUAGAUAUCUGGAAGAACACCAAUGGCGAAGGCAAUGUUCUGGCUCGUUUUUGACGCUCAGGUGCGAAAGCCAGGGGAGCGAACGGG